GGGGAGGUGGCUAGCAACCUUUGAUCCGGGGAUCUCCGAAUGGGACAACCCAGCGCGGCGAAAACCGCGCUACGCGCUGUUUCGCUGCGAAAUUAAAAAUGAAAAAUAAAAGACCAAAAAUUAUGUUUUUUAUUUUUGAUAUUUAAUCUUUGAUUUCGCUGCGAAGCAGCGUGGGCGAACCUGGGGAAGUGAAACAUCUCAGUACCCAGAGGAAAAGAGAACGAAGUUUAUUCCCUUAGUAGCGGCGAGCGAAAAGGGAAGAGCCUAAACUUUCAUUUUCUUUUUAAGAAAAUGAAAGGGUUGUAAGUUGGAUACGUUCCAGAGCAAUCUGGACAGAGUUUUAGAAAAUAUGAUUUAUCUAGGCAAAUGUUCCUGGAAAGGACAGCCAAAGAGGGUAAUAGCCCCGUAGCCGAAAGAUAUCAUAUGCUCUGAGUAUCUGUACUUGAGUACUUCGGGGAAAGAAAACCCUGAAGGAAGCAGGCCGGACUAACCGGCCAAGGCUAAAUACUCAAUCUUACCGAUAGUGAACCAGUACCGUGAGGGAAAGGUGAAAAGCAGGGAGGUGAUCCCGUUGAAAUAGAACCUGAAACCAUUUGCUUACAAGGAGUGGGAGCUGGCCAUACCUCACUGUGUUCGGUAUUAAUUUCAAAUGACAAAUUUCUAAUUUUAAAAAAUUAAAAAUUAGAAUAUUGUUUAAAAAUUUAAAAUUGAAAAUUUGAAAUUCACAACGAGCAUAGCGAGGUGUGGCUGGUGACCGCGUGCUUUUUGCAGAACGAGCCAACGAGUUCAAGUAGAUAGCAAGCCUAAGCCCUUCUGGGGCGGAAGCGCAGGGAAACCGAGUGUUAAUAGCGCGUUUAGUUAUCUAUUUGAGACCCGAAGCCAAGCGAGCUUGCCAUGGACAGGGUGAAUUUCGCAGAAAUGCGAAAGGAGGCCCGAACCCGUGAGUCGUGCAAUUCUCUGGGACGAUCUGUGGUAAGAAGUGAAAAGCUAAUCGAGCUUGGUAAUAGCUGGUUCUCCCCGAAAUAGCUUUAGGGCUAGCCCGGGUUUUAAGAUUUGCAGGGGUAGAGCACUGAAUGGAAUUACGUGGGCUCUUGCCUAGUCUUUCCAAUCAAACUCCAAAUACUGCAAGUUAUUUGCCCGGAGUCAGACCGUGGGGGCUAAGCUCCAUGGUCAAAAGGGAAACAGCCCAGAUCUUCAUCUAAGGUCCCUAAAUCAGGCUAAGUGUUUUUAAGGAAGUAAGGCGCCGGAGAUAGUUAGGAGGUUAGCUUAGAAGCAGCUAUCCUUUAAAAAGUGCGUAAUAGCUUACUAACUAAGGAGUUUUGCGCCGAAGAUUUAUCGGGGCUAAGCCUGAUACCGAAGAUAAGGAACCUUGUGCUUCGCACCAGGAAAUUCUAAACACUAAAUAACAAAUUCUAAAUAGUAUUUAAUGAUUAAAAUUCAAAAUAUUUCAAAACAUUUUGAGUUUGUAAUUUUAUAAUUUAUUUGUGAUUUGUAAUUUUGGAUUUAGGAUUUUCUCGCGCGUAGCGCGAGGUUGGUAGGGGAGCGUUCUCAGGGCAGUGAAGUUCGGCCGUAAGGCCGGAUGGAGCGCUGAGAAGUGAGAAUGUUGGCAUGAGUAACCGCAAUGCCGCUGAGAAAGCGGCACACCGAAAACCCAAGGUUUCCUUGGCAAUGACAAUCAUCCAAGGGUUAGGCGGGCCUUAGUCCGCGGCCGAAAGGCCGGGAUGAUGGACAGCCGGUUAAUAUUCCGGCCCUCCUUUGUUUUUUCAAUGAAGUGACGGAAUCUAGUAGGCAAGGCGAGUUAUCGGAUUCUCGUUGACGGCUUAAGAAUUUUCAAGAGCCGGCAGCAAGUCCUGUUUCGGCAGGAUGAACCUUGUUGAGCAGGUUUCCCGGAAAAACUUCAAAGAGCUAAAAGCAAAGGAACCGUACCGUAAAACUGACACAGGUGGGUUGGUGUAAACGCACCAAGGUGAACGGGUGAAAUCUCGUUAAGGAACUCGGCAAAAAAGUGGUCGUAAGUUCGCAAUAAGACCUGCCCGAUCGUUCUUCACUGCGUUUGGUAUUAAUUUCAAAUGACAAAUUUUUAAUUUAAAAAAUUGAAAAUUUGAAAUUUAUACCGAGUAUAGUGAGGAGCGAUUGGGCUGCAACAAACGUACCCCUGGCGACUGUUUAUCAAAAACACAGGUCCCUGCUUAAUUCGUAAGAAGAUGUAUAGGGGCUGAGACCUGACCAGUGCUGGAACGUUAAGUUUAGCGGUUAUUUUGCUUUUAGCAGAAUAGCUGACUGAAUGAAGCGCCAGUGAACGUCCGCGAUAACUAUAAUCGUGUUAAAGUACCGUAAUCCCUUGCCAGGUAAAUUCUGGCCCGCAGGAAAGGUUUAACGACUGGGGGACUGUCUCAACGAGAUGCCCGGUGAAAAUGCAAUACCGGUAAAGAUGCCGGUUACCUACGGCUAGACGGAAAGACCCCGGGAGCUUUACUGUAGUUAGAUAUUGAAUUUUUGCUUUAAAUGCGUAGCGUAGCGGGGAGGCUUUGAAGUGUUGCUUUCGGGCAGCAUGGAGCCGUCAAUGAAACACCCGUCUUUUAAAGCUUUUAUUCUAAUCCGGUUUUAAACCGGAGACAGUGUUUAACGGGCAGUUUAGGUGGGGCGCUUGCCUCCCAAAAGGUAACGGAGGCGUUUAUAAGGUCGGCUAAGCACGGAUGGAAAUCGUGCUCAUCGUGUAAAGGCAUAAGCCGGCUUGACUGCAAGAGGGAUAACUCGCGCAGACACGAAAGUGGAACUUAGUGAACCGACCGUGGUUAGUAGAACCGCGGGAGAUCAUCAGCUAAAAGCUACCCCGGGGAUAACAGGCUAGUAGGGCCCGCAAGUUCACAUUAACGGCCCUGUUCGGCACCUUAACAUAUCGGGGUGCUGCAAUAGUAAUAUUGUAUUCUGCUUAUCAGCAGAACGAAAAACUGACUUAUAACGGUGGACUCUUCAUGCUUAUAUUUGUUAUAAUAAAAGAUAUAAGUAAAAGACAAUACCGUGGGAAGUUUAACUCAAUUUCAAAAGUCAUUAAUUAUUGGAACAGUGUUGGGCGACGGAUAUUUACGUAUAAUUCCAGGAAGAAAUAAUGCUUUUUUAGAAAUAAAUCAUUCUAUUU
rnacentral:rRNA from 1 species